rnacentral:lncRNA from 1 species
CUAGCUUUUUAUUUGUAACAUAUAAACCAAAGCGACCAAAACCGAGAGAAACGGGUAAAAUCCCUUCUUAAUCCCCAAAGUGAGAGCCCCACCCCCAGGCAUGUGGGCAGGUGGGUCCUAAGGGUCACCCUAUGAUGGUGAAUACUACCUGAAGGCCCCCAAAAACACGGAGGUGACAAACAGGGGAGUGCAGCCAGGUUGGCUGCCUGUCCUCAACGCAGAGCCAGUUUUGGGUGAAGAUACGGUGGGUUUGGUUGUAGGGGCUCAGUGGCAGCAGGUGCCGCAGUGCCCAGCAGCAGGGAGUUGGUGUCCGUCACCGAAUUUCGUCCUCCGGCUCAGGACCUCAUAGGAGCAGUCGUCCCCACAGCAGCCCGAGACGCUGGGCGAGGAAUCAUCGAUAUCAAACUGCAGCGCUUCUCGGAAGAACUGAUAGGCGCCGUGGUUGUGCUUGAAGACCGUCAGCAUCACUUUCUUCAUCUGCGUGCUGUUGGCCACCAGCUGUAGGAUCUGCAGGAGGAACUUGCCCAGCCCUCUGCGCCGCACUUGGCUUUCCAGCUGCACCUCAUAGCAGUACAGAACCUCAUCCCCACACUCAACGUCGAAGCGGAAAUGGGAGAAGGCAACGGGGCGGGCGCUGGGCUCGCGUGCGAUCAGGAACCAGGCGCGCUCAUCCGUCAGCUCAUCGCGUUUCUCCCGGUCCUUCCAGCCCCAUUCGCUCUGCUCAUACAGCGUCUGCAUGUUGGUUUUGGUCAGCUCGAAGGCCCAAUCAACCGUGGCUCGCUCCAGGCUGGCGACGCGUUUGCAUUCGAUGGAGACGUUGAGGCCAUUGCGGUCGUAUUUCUUGAACACCGGAAAGGCUUCGAGGGGAUCUUCGAGUUUGUUGGCAGCCUCCACCUUGGCACACACAGCAGCCAUGGCUGCGCGCUCCUCCAGGCGCUUCUGCUUCUUCUCCUUCGCUUUGCUCGACUUCCUCCCCAUAGCUGCAGCUCCUCACGGCGCGGGGGCGCGCGGCCCACUGCCAGAGCGCCGCCGGGAGCGCGCCCUAUAUAUAGGGGGGAGGGAGCGACCGAGCGGCCAACCGGGCACACUGCGCCUGCGCAAAGCCUCGCUCCGCCCAUCCGCGCAGGCGCACUGAGGCGGGGGUGACGUCAUCGCCGCGCACAUGCGCCGUGCGGGCGGGGGCGGGGCUAACGGCCGUGCGCGUGGCGGCGGCAUCGGGCGCGAAGGCGGGCGGGCGCUGAUUGGCUGAGAGCGCCGAGGGCGGGAAGGCGGCGCGGCCACGCCCUUCGCUGUGGAGAGCCGCGCCCGGGUCCGCCCCACAGCCCGCGGCUGCCCCAUAGCUGCCCCAUAGCUGCCCCAUAGCUGCCCCAUAGCUGCCCCAUAGC